rnacentral:miRNA from 1 species
GUUGCCGCUGCCGUCAUCCUCAUCAUCAUCGUCCUUGCAUGAAACCGCCAGCAAAUCCUUGCGCGGGGGGAAGGGGAAGGGGAGGGGGAGGGGUCGGAGGGGCGGC